GCGUUGUCCGGAAUUAUUGGGCGUAAAGAGCGCGUAGGCGGUCCGAUAAGUCGGCUGUGAAAGUCAGGGGCUCAACCCUUGAAAGCCGGCCGAUACUGUCGGACUAGAGUCCGGAAGAGGCAAGUGGAAUUCCCAGUGUAGCGGUGAAAUGCGUAGAUAUUGGGAGGAACACCAGUGGCGAAGGCGGCUCACUGGACCGGUACUGACGCUGAUGCGCGAAAGCGUGGGGAGCAAACAGG
rnacentral:rRNA from 1 species